rnacentral:rRNA from 1 species
CCCUUAGAUGUUCUGGGCCGCACGCGCGCUACACUGGUACGUUCAACAAGUUUACAACCUUGAUCGAUAGGUCUGGGUAAUCUUUUUAAUGCGUACCGUGCUAGGGAUAGAUUAUUGCAAUUAUUAAUCUUGAACGAGGAAUUCCUAGUAAACGCAAGUCAUCAGCUUGCAUUGAUUACGUCCCUGCCCUUUGUACACACCGCCCGUCACACCUACUGAUUGAAUGACUCGGUGAAAAAUUGGGACUGUGAGAACAAUCGAUUCAGUUCGAAUGUACUCGUGGAAACUUUUUUUAACCUCGCCAUUUAGAAGAAGGUGAAGUCGUANCA